GGUGAACGCUGGCGGCGUGCUUAAGACAUGCAAGUCGAACGGCAGUCUUCGGACUGUAGUGGCGCACGGGUGAGUAACGCGUAACUGACCUACCCCAAAGUCGCGGAUAACGAUUCGAAAGAAUCGCUAAUACGUGAUGUGCUGCCAGAUUGUGUUCUGCCAGUAAAGAUUGAUUGCUUUGGGAUGGGGUUGCGUUCCAUCAGCUAGUUGGUGGGGUAAAGGCCCACCAAGGCGACGACGGAUAGCCGGCCGGAGAGGGUGGCCGGCCACCGCGGCACGGCGCCCCGGGUCCACCUCCUACGGGAGGCAGCAGUUAGGAAUCUUCCACAAUGGGCGAAAGCCUGAUGGGGCGACGCCGCGUGAGGGAUGAAGGUCUUCGGAUCGUAAGCCUCUGAAUCAGGGACGAAGGACACUUCGGUGGGAUGACGGUACCUGAGUAAUAGCACCGGCUAACUCCGUGCCAGCAGCCGCCGUAACAC
rnacentral:rRNA from 1 species